UACAGAGGUCUCGAGCGUUGUUCGGAUUCAUUGGGCGUAAAGGGCGCGUAGGCGGCGGGGCAAGUCUGGUGUGAAAUCUCGGAGCUCAACUCCGAAAUUGCACUGGAUACUGCUCUGCUAGAGGGCUGGAGAGGAGAUCGGAAUUCACGGUGUAGCAGUGAAAUGCAUAGAUAUCGUGAGGAAGACCAGUGGCGAAGGCAGAUCUCUGGACAGCUCCUGACGCUGAGGCGCGAAGGCUAGGGGAGCAAACGGG
rnacentral:rRNA from 1 species